rnacentral:rRNA from 1 species
CUGCGGUUCUAUUUUGUUGGUUUCUAGGACCGCCGUAAUGAUUAAUAGGGACAGUCGGGGGCAUCCGUAUUCAAUUGUCAGAGGUGAAAUUCUUGGAUUUAUUGAAGACGAACUACUGCGAAAGCAUUUGCCAAGGAUGUUUUCAUUAAUCAGUGAACGAAAGUUAGGGGAUCGAAGACGAUCAGAUACCGUCGUAGUCUUAACCGUAAACUAUGCCGACUAAGGAUCGGAUGAUGUUCUUUUUAUGACUCAUUCGGCACUUUCCGAGAAAUCAAAGUUUUUGGGUUCUGGGGGGAGUAUGGUCGCAAGGCUGAAACUUAAAGAAAUUGACGGAAGGGCACCACCAGGCGUGGAACCUGCGGCUUAAUUUGACUCAACACGGGGAAACUCACCAGGUCCAGA